AUUUUAUGAUGAAAAAUUUUUUAUUGGUGAUAUACCAUGAUAAACAAUUGAGCUUUUUAACACUGAAAAAUC